rnacentral:lncRNA from 1 species
CUCCUCAUAAGACAGAUCCUCCUAGAGUGAAAAGGGCUCAUGGGCUAAGAUGUGAUAGGGGUCCGAGUUGUACUUGCGUAGCAUUGACACAUGAAAUACAUUAUGGACUCUAGAUAGUUUUAGAGAGAGUGUCAGUCUAUAGGUGACAAUACCAAUUUUAUUUAAGAUUUCAAAUGGCCCAAUAAAAUGGAGAUUUAGUUUCUCCCUCUUGACAAAUCUAUUAAUUUUCUUAAAAGGAGUGACCUU